rnacentral:rRNA from 1 species
CCUACGGGUGGCUGCAGUGGGGAAUAUUGGACAAUGGGCGGAAGCCUGAUCCAGCAAUGCCGCGUGUGUGAAGAAGGCCUUAGGGUUGUAAAGCACUUUCAGAGGUAAGGAAGCAAUUAUAGUUAAUAGCUGUGAUUGUUGACGUUAGCCUCAGAAGAAGCACCGGCUAACUCUGUGCCAGCAGCCGCGGUAAUACAGAGGGUGCAAGCGUUAAUCGGAAUUACUGGGCGUAAAGGGUGUGUAGGUUGUUGAGGCAAGUCAGGUGUAAAAACCCC